rnacentral:rRNA from 1 species
CAGUUCGGAUUGAAGGCUGAAAUUCGCCUUCAUGAAGCCGGAAUUGCUAGUAAUGGCAGGUCAGCAUACUGCCGUGAAUACGUUCCCGGGCCUUGUACACACCGCCCGUCACACCAUGAGAGUUGGGAAUACCCGAAGCCUGUGAGCUAACGUAAGGGGCAGCAGUCGAAGGUAGAAUCAAUGAUUGGGGUGAAGUCGUAACAAGGUAUC